rnacentral:rRNA from 1 species
AUGCAAGUCGAGGGGUAGAGUUAGCUUGCUAACUUGAGACCGGCGCACGGGUGCGUAACGCGUAUGCAACCUACCUUUAUCUGGGGGAUAGCCCGGAGAAAUCCGGAUUAAUACCGCAUAAAAUCACAGAAUUGCAUAAUUCAAUGAUCAAACAUUUAUGGGAUGAAGAUGGGCAUGCGUGUCAUUAGCUAGUUGGCGGGGUAACGGCCCACCAAGGCGACGAUGACUAGGGGAUCUGAGAGGAUGGCCCCCCACACUGGUACUGAGACACGGACCAGACUCCUACGGGAGGCAGCAGUAAGGAAUAUUGGUCAAUGGAGGCAACUCUGAACCAGCCAUGCCGCGUGCAGGAAGACUGCCCUAUGGGUUGUAAACUGCUUUUAUCUGGGAAUAAACCUACUUACGUGUAAGUAGCUGAAUGUACCAGAGGAAUAAGGAUCG